GGCCAUCCAGAAUCACAACAACUCACGGACUUCUGCUCCACUGAAGCAUGCGCAUUGUUUUCGUGACGUUGUGAGCUUACCCAUCUAUACCUACCCACCCUCUAAAAAGUUUGGUAAACAAUAACUAGCUACUUUGCUGAGGAUAUUUGAUCUCAAAUUUCAAGCAGGGGAAGGUCAACCGUGCAGACAAUCCGUAGACGUUGAUCAACGGUCACAAUGUUAAUUUUCUUGAUCGGAGUUAAAAAUCGCGACUGCCUCUCUGCGAAGAGUGGACUCAUGAUUCAGGCCUCCUCGUCCCACUCAUCCAAAGACUCAGAUCCUCUCCAGGUCUUUGGGAUGGUCAGGCAGGUCCUCCAGGAGAGCAGGGUUCCUCCUGUAGAUGUAAGCGCUGGCAUCGUCGUCCAGAUUCACCAGCUCUGCCAGUGA